UACGGGGGGGGCAAGCGUUGUUCGGAAUUACUGGGCGUAAAGGGCUCGUAGGCGGCCAACUAAGUCAGACGUGAAAUCCCUCGGCUUAACCGGGGAACUGCCUCUGAUACUGGAUGGCUUGAGAUUGGGAGAGGGAUGCGGAAUUCCAGGUGUAGCGGUGAAAUGCGUAGAGUAUCUGGAGGAACACCGGUGGCGAAGGCGGCGAUCCUGGACCAACACGUGACGCUGAGGAGCGAAAGCCAGGGGAGCAAACGGG
rnacentral:rRNA from 1 species